CCUACGGGAGGCAGCAGUGGGGAAUCUUGCGCAAUGGGCGAAAGCCUGACGCAGCAACGCCGCGUGGGUGAUGAAGGUCUUCGGAUUGUAAAACCCUGUCGUUAGGGACGAAGACAUGAAUCCUAAUACGAUUCAUGUUUGACGGUACCUAGAAAGGAAGCCCCGGCUAACUCUGUGCCAGCAGCCGCGGUAAUACAGAGGGGGCAAGCGUUAUUCGGAAUUAUUGGGCGUAAAGGGUGCGUAGGCGGUUUUCUAAGUCAGAUGUGUAAUCCACGAGCUCAACUUGGGAACUGCAUCUGAAACUGGGAGACUAGAGUACUGGAGAGGAUGGUGGAAUUCCACGUGUAGCGGUAAAAUGCGUAGAGAUGUGGAGGAACACCAGUGGCGAAGGCGGCCAUCUGGACAGUAACUGACGCUGAAGCACGAAAGUGUGGGUAGCAAACAGGAUUAGAUACCCUGGUAGUCCACACCGUAAACGAUGAACACUUGGUGUAGUGGGAGUUGACCCCCACUGUGCCGUAGCUAACGCGAUAAGUGUUCCGCCUGGGGAGUACGGUCGCAAGGCUGAAACUCAAAUGAAUUGACGG
rnacentral:rRNA from 1 species